rnacentral:rRNA from 1 species
CACGUAGGGCGCAAGCGUUGUCCGGAAUUAUUGGGCGUAAAGCGCGCGCAGGCGGUCUCUUAAGUCUGAUGUGAAAUCUCGCGGCUCAACCGUGAGCGGUCAUUGGAAACUGGGAGACUUGAGUGCAGAAGAGAAGAGCGGAAUUCCACGUGUAGCGGUGAAAUGCGUAGAGAUGUGGGGGAACACCAGUGGCGAAGGCGGCUCUUUGGUCUGUAACUGACACUGAGGCGCGAAAGCGUGGGGAGCAAACAGG